rnacentral:rRNA from 1 species
AAUGAACGCUGGCGGCAGGCCUAACACAUGCAAGUCGAGCGGCAGCGGGAAAGUAGCUUGCUACUUUUGCCGGCGAGCGGCGGACGGGUGAGUAAUGCCUGGGAAAUUGCCCAGUCGAGGGGGAUAACAGUUGGAAACGACUGCUAAUACCGCAUACGCCCUACGGGGGAAAGCAGGGGACCUUCGGGCCUUGCGCGAUUGGAUAUGCCCAGGUGGGAUUAGCUAGUUGGUGAGGUAAUGGCUCACCAAGGCGACGAUCCCUAGCUGGUCUGAGAGGAUGAUCAGCCACACUGGAACUGAGACACGGUCCAGACUCCUACGGGAGGCAGCAGUGGGGAAUAUUGCACAAUGGGGGAAACCCUGAUGCAGCCAUGCCGCGUGUGUGAAGAAGGCCUUCGGGUUGUAAAGCACUUUCAGCGAGGAGGAAAGGUCAGUAGCUAAUAUCUGCUGGCUGUGACGUUACUCGCAGAAGAAGCACCGGCUAACUCCGUGCCAGCCGCCGCCGUAAGAC